rnacentral:tmRNA from 15 species
GGGGCUGAUUCUGGAUUCGACGGGAUUUGCGAAACCCAAGGUGCAUGCCGAGGGGCGGUUGGCCUCGUAAAAAGCCGCAAAAAAAUAGUCGCAAACGACGAAAACUACGCUUUAGCAGCUUAAUAACCUGCUUAGAGCCCUCUCUCCCUAGCCUCCGCUCUUAGGACGGGGAUCAAGAGAGGUCAAACCCAAAAGAGAUCGCGCGGAUGCCCUGCCUGGGGUUGAAGCGUUAAAACGAAUCAGGCUAGUCUGGUAGUGGCGUGUCCGUCCGCAGGUGCCAGGCGAAUGUAAAGACUGACUAAGCAUGUAGUACCGAGGAUGUAGGAAUUUCGGACGCGGGUUCAACUCC